UCGCGGCCGGUUUGAUCGGCAUGGGCAUCGGCAGUGCGUGUGCCGGGCUGCUGGCCGAUCGCUUCGGCCGCCGCUGG
rnacentral:tRNA from 2 species